rfam:Lupinus angustifolius cultivar Tanjil chromosome LG17, whole genome shotgun sequence.
GGGUGGGAUCAUACCAGCACUAAUGCACCGGAUCUUAUCAGAACUCUGCAGUUAAAUGUGUCUGAACAAAAGCAGAAAUAAUAUUAAGAUGGUAAUCUCCUGAGAAGUCCUCGUGUUGAACCUC